GCGGGUUUAGCUCAGUUGGGAGAGCGUCAGACUGAAGCCAAACUUCAAUUCCUUAAUCUGAAGGUCAUGUGUUCGAUCCACAUAAACCGCA
rnacentral:tRNA from 1 species